GGAGGAUUUAGGAGUUGUUAUGCUGAUGAAAAAUCUGGAGUCAAAGCCUGUGUUGUAUCUAUUUCCAGGAGAAAAUAUGAUGUUCAGAGCAGCAAGUCAGAGAAGAAUUCAGCUUUUUCGAAGACUCCCCUUUCAGAAGUAGGACUAAUUCUGAAAGAGCCUGACGUACCUGCAAGUGUGUGCAGACUAAGAACUGACAGAAGUUGCUGGGUCCAGUUGCAUUUCCUUGGUCUUAUCUCAGUGCAUAACCACCUCAGCCUUGGGAGUGAUUUCUUUCCGUGAGUGUUGUCAGCUAUAAAAUUCACCGCUGACCUACCUGCAGAGCUCUGCCUGAAAACAAUUAAACAUCAGAACUGUGUUCGUUCAAUGAACUUGGCCUCUCAGAGGCUUGACCUUUGAUUGACUUCCCAGUCUGCUUUGCACUCGAUGGAAAUUUCU
rnacentral:lncRNA from 1 species